ACGAACGCUGGCGGCGUGCUUAACACAUGCAAGUCGAGCGGUAAGGCCCUUCGGGGUACACGAGCGGCGAACGGGUGAGUAACACGUGGGUGAUCUGCCUCGUACUCUGGGAUAAGCCUGGGAAACUGGGUCUAAUACCGGAUAUGACCACGAGUCGCAUGGUUUGUGGUGGAAAGAUUUAUCGGUGCGAGAUGGGCCCGCGGCCUAUCAGCUUGUUGGUGGGGUAAUGGCCUACCAAGGCGACGACGGGUAGCCGGCCUGAGAGGGCGACCGGCCACACUGGGACUGAGACACGGCCCAGACUCCUACGGGAGGCAGCAGUGGGGAAUAUUGCACAAUGGGCGGAAGCCUGAUGCAGCGACGCCGCGUGCGGGAUGACGGCCUUCGGGUUGUAAACCGCUUUCGACAGGGACGAAGCGUGAGUGACGGUACCUGUAGAAGAAGCACCGGCCAACUACGUGCCAGCAGCCGCGGUAAUACGUAGGGUGCGAGCGUUGUCCGGAAUUACUGGGCGUAAAGAGCUUGUAGGCGGUUUGUCGCGUCGUUCGUGAAAACUUGGGGCUCAACCCCAAGCUUGCGGGCGAUACGGGCAGACUAGAGUACUGCAGGGGAGACUGGAAUUCCUGGUGUAGCGGUGAAAUGCGCAGAUAUCAGGAGGAACACCGGUGGCGAAGGCGGGUCUCUGGGCAGUAACUGACGCUGAGAAGCGAAAGCGUGGGUAGCGAACAGGAUUAGAUACCCUGGUAGUCCACGNCGUAAACGGUGGGUACUAGGUGUGGGUUUCCUUCCACGGGAUCCGUGCCGUAGCUAACGCAUUAAGUACCCNGCCUGGGGAGUACGGCCGCAAGGCUAAAACUCAAAGGAAUUGACGGGGGCCCGCACAAGCGGCGGAGCAUGUGGAUUAAUUCGAUGCAACGCGAAGAACCUUACCUGGGUUUGACAUACACCAGACGCCGGCAGAGAUGUCGGUUCCCUUGUGGCUGGUGUACAGGUGGUGCAUGGCUGUCGUCAGCUNGUGUCGUGAGAUGUUGGGUUAAGUCCCGCAACGAGCGCAACCCUUGUCCUGUGUUGCCAGCGGAUUAUGCCGGGGACUCGCAGGAGACUGCCGGGGUCAACUCGGAGGAAGGUGGGGACGACGUCAAGUCAUCAUGCCCCUUAUGUCCAGGGCUUCACACAUGCUACAAUGGCCGGUACAGAGGGCUGCGAUAUCGUGAGGUGGAGCGAAUCCCUUAAAGCCGGUCUCAGUUCGGAUCGGGGUCUGCAACUCGACCCCGUGAAGUUGGAGUCGCUAGUAAUCGCAGAUCAGCAACGCUGCGGU
rnacentral:rRNA from 2 species